rnacentral:lncRNA from 1 species
UUAAAAAGUAGUAUACCAUUUUCAUAACUGUUAGUGUAAUAUACAUUCGGACACUAUUAAAUUCUGUUUGUUCCUAUAGAAAUAUCAUGAAAAGAUGAUAUCAUGACAGAAUUCAUAGACAAAACUGUUGCAUUACAUACUUUGAUGAACUGAUUCAACAACUUUCAUUUAAUAGAGGACCAUACCAAACAUCAAAAUGGUAGGUACAAGCAAUGUGUUCAUAUUUAUUUUGUGUUCGGCUUUUUUUUUACUCACAGAAUUACGACAGCAGACCAAAUUUCUGUUGCUAUCGACAUUUUUGUAAUGUUAGAAUAUCUGUUAUAAUUUGAAAUAUUUGCCACAGGACAUUAAGCAAACAACAGGAUGAUUUUUUAUAUAAAUUGUCGUGCUACUUGUGUUUUAAAUGUUAUUUGGUAAAUAUCAAGUCGAGAUAUUCAUUUUGGACUGAAUACAGUUUAAAUCAUCCAUAUUUUCUGAAUGUUGCUGGAAAUGGGUUUCCUCUAUUUCUCUCUUGGGUGUAGGUUGGAACAAGAGAGGCGCAGUUUUUCUUUAUUAGAAAUUACUUGUUGUUUACCCCUUUUUCUGGCAUUUUGUUUUAAGUGAGGUAUACUACUGUUUCUGUUUAUUUUAUUUGAGCAACUCUCUCACAGAAGAACAUCAAACCUUUGUUGUUUAGCUUCAUUUACUGUAAGUUAAGGCCAUAUCAAGUUGUAUAAAUCAAAAACAGCGAAUUUGGUAUUGCAAAUAAACCUUUAUAUAGAUUGAAAUGUAUUUUAGCCCUCCAAAUGCCCCAAAACAAGCGGAAUUUUGUGUAGAAGGAUGAAACUAUAAAACAAAACAUGGUGGUCGACCUAAAAGAUAUUUUCAAGUAGUAAAAAAUCGCAUGUGACAACUGGCAAAAAAUUAUUCUUAAAGAAAAAUGUCUAUGUCGUAAAGGUAAUAAAAAUGUAAACCAUGGAAAAGAAAGAAAACUGUGCCCCCAAACAUGCUUUGCAAUAUCAUAGAUGUCAUUGGUAAAUGGUAAAUUAUUUAGUUGGAACCCGCUUGUGAUCUGUAUAUACCAAUAUUAACAACGUUUCAGCUAUGCCGUUUCGCAGCUAGUGGUCCUUGGCAAUUAAUUGUUUGUUUUUUUUUAAUACAAAAUAUAUCGUACAUCUUAUAAAUUCAAUCCCGACCAAAUAAAGUUACAUAAUUAUUUAUUGAUCAUUGUUUUAUAGUCAGAUUUUAAUGAAGACAAUAUUGAUAUCAUCAUACAUAAUAGACUAAUGUUCCACACAAUUCAGAUAGUAAACCUUAUUGUACUAUCUAGAUAAUAGCUAGGAAUGUCAUGCCCAUAUGAACAGCCUUACUAGAAACCAAGGAUUUUAAAGUACAAAUGUAAAGAUUUCUGUCUCUUUUUGUGAACGGGUGGUCUUUUGUCAUGUUCUAGAAAUAAGCCUUUUUUAUAUAUAAAAUUGAGAAAGGAAAUAGGGAAUGUGUUAAAGCGACAACAACCCACCAUAGAGCAGACAACAGCCGAAGGUCACCAAUGGGUCUUUAAUGUAGCGAGAAUUUCCGCACCAAGAUGCAUGCUUCAACUGGUCCCUACAAAAUAUGUAUACUAGUUCAGUGAUAGUGGACGUCAUACUAAACUUCGAAUUAUAUUUAGUUUGCCAGAGUAUUUUUGGCAUUUCAAGAACGGAUAUCUAUUUAAAAAGAGGGUGUAAUGGGAUAUAAAAAAGAGGGUGUAAUGGGAUAUAAAAAACAUUAAAUGAAUUAAACAGACAACAUCGUGACCAAAACGGAUAAUGACAAACGAAAAAACCCACUAACAACAAACACAACACAGUUCGUACAAACAGUGACAAAUUCAAUCGUUGAAAGCUCAUCAAAGAACACAUGAAUUAAUUCACCAGGAAAAAAAUAAUAUUAAGAAAUUCUAUUGGCUCCCAGAAUGAUUAAAAUCUAAUGAUGAUGCAACUGUUAUAUCAGUUUAAUAAAACAACCGUCUCAAUUGAUAACAUUUUUGUUCAAGUGAGGCAAAAGAUACCAUAUGGAUAUUUAAAGGCAUUAAUCGAAAAUAUACUCACAACGCCAAGUAAAAAAAAACAACAAUAAAAAACGACAAAAGGACCAAAAGUCAAACAAUACACAAAAUAUAUCAAAGAAAACUAAAGACUGAACAACAAUACCACAAAAAGGGGAGUAUCCCAAGUGCUACGGAAGGAUAAUCAGGUCCUUCAUGACAUGUAGUCUACAUUAUAGUGGAUACUGUAACAACCAUAUGCAUGGAAGAAAAAAUGUGGGGUAUCCACCAUCGAAACAAAAUCAGACCAUGAACAUAAAAAGAAAGUAAUACACCCACAAAAAGUAAAGGAACAGCGCUAUGGUAUGUAUUGAAAAGUAUAGAGUUAUGUGCGUUUAAGUGAACAGUGUCCCUGCUGUUAUUUUACUCGAGGUGUGGAUAGAGAGAGGUAAUAAUAAAGGGACUGACAACAAUAAAGGGAAGCGUUCAGUGUUGAUUAAAAAAAGAAUAAGCCUAACCACAAUAUAUUUCUGUAAUAUCUAUCAGUGCUUGUCAACAUAUAUAUUUAUUCAGUAUUACCCGUUCUUUCAUGUUUUUGUGUUGGUGACAAAUCUUUAGUAGUCUGUGUUUAACUUAUUUCACAACUUGUCAGGAGUUUGGCCGAUUUUGAGCUUGACAUAUAGUAUAAUCAUCUGACAAUCUAUAUAAUUAUCCUGGGUUGCUAGUCUCAUUGGCCUCCCUCGCUUACGCUUCAAUCGCUUUAAGUUUGCGUAAAUAAAUUACAAAACUACACUUUUGACUAGUGGUGACGAAAAAAAGGCGAAUUAAAGUCGGGGAAUGUUUUUUUCCCUCUCUUUCUUGUCGUAUUUCAAAACUUAUUGCAAUUGCAAAUGUUCUUCAGGUACGGACCCUCAAGUUGAUUAAAUCAAAUAUACAGCAAAGUACACAUAACUAUGAAGAAGGGACAUUUAAAUGUAGUGCUUGAGAUUUUGUAUACUUACGAAAAAUAUUUUUAUUUUACAACCAGUACAUAGUUUCCAUAAUAAUAUAGGUACUUCAAAACCUUUUAAGUGUUUAUGCUAAUGUUAAUCAAUCAUUUGAUGUUUAAUCUUGUAAACAAGAGGUCAAUAUGAUUUUAUUGUAACAUGUAUUUUAUUUGUCCAUUUAAAUCUUUUGUUGGAACUUAUAAUACAUGAAAAGAUCUAAAAUACAGUCUAUAAAAUCAAUGUUUAAAUAUGAAGACAACCUUACAAAGCGUCUCAACGUUGAACAGUAGUCUUGUCCAUGAUCGUACGGAAUACGUCUUACGUUUUUAUAGUCGUGAUAUAUAAUAUCUGUAAGUUAUCUGUAGAAAUGAUAUACUCUGAGUUAAGCAAUGUUAAACAGAUAUAUAAUUUAGCUUCACAUCAUGGCUAUAUGUCUCUGAGGAUGAAAUAAACAAAUAUUUUAAGCUACAAAAUUUGUUGCUGUAUAAAUGUAUUAUCAUUUUUAAAGUCUUGCUAUGCUAUCUCACAAAUAGGUUUUAUAAAAAGCAACAACAUGCUAUCCAAGCCGUUAUGACAAUAAUGCUCUUACAUCUUGCCGAUACUCAGAUUAUUGUGUCAAUAUAUAAAGUUAUGGGUAUCUUUUGACUGGUUAUGGCGUCUUUACACUGAAUUAAUUGGCGAAGUACUAAUGGAUAUUUUGUUAAAUCCGGGCUUUGUAAUAUCUUUUGGUAAACCUGUACGACUCGUUGAUAUGGAUUAUUGGGCUUAGUGGUGAUCUAAUGAACCAAUCCCUUAUCAACUGAUAUUUUACAGCUUUUUUUCUUAUGUUGUUUUGUAAAUCCACUGUCCCAACUUGGUUUUUUAGGGGGUGGGGUGGGGUACAUGUUUAACAAAAGAGUCUGUAAUCCAGUGGUUGUCAUCGGUAGUAGUUGCUUCGUUUUUUGUCGCAGUUUAAUACGGCUGUUGAUUUUCUCUUUUGAAUUGUUUAAUUUUGUUUUUUUUUCAUGCCGGGGCGUUUGUGGCUAACUAUAUGGUACCAGUUUUCUCUCAUACGGUACUACCGUACAGUGACUUGUAGUUGCUUACACCAUUGUCAUUAACUCAUUAAUUCAUUAAGUGUUCUCAAUGGCGAUCAAACCAUACCUUCUUAUUUUUAACAACAAAUUGAUAUAUAUGUUCAAUGUAUACAUAUUUCAUUGAAGCCGGUGCUAGGACCGUAUUUAGCUUGCAGUGAGGAGAGAUUUUUACUCCAUAAUGAAAACUUCACUAUGACCUUGAGAUGAAGAACAGCAAUACAAACGCUGUUUCUUUAUGUUUUUAUUGUAUUUUUUUCAUACACUGAUUUUGUGUCAUGGAUGGAUACCCCAUAUCCUAUGUUUUUCUACUAUGUUCAGUCUGCAGGGCCGUAACUAGCCUCUUCUAAUAGUGAGGCAAAAUAUAUUCGCCAAGCGGAGAGAGGCGAACAAAUUUUGACGCGGGGUUUGGGGGCCGCUCAAGGCCCCCAGAAGCUCUGAGAAAAAUUACGAACAAUCGUGCAUUCUGAAAGUUUCCCGGACUCUUUCUGACAUUAAAACGCAAUUAAUUGAUUGCUAUUUUCCGACAACAAUCUGGUCUCAAAGCAAGAACAUAGAUUCAUUGAGAUUUAAGACUUUUAUGGUUUAUGGAAAACAUUAAAGACCGAAUGUAGGAUAAACAAAAUCGUAAUUUCAUAAUCAUUAAUACAGGUAUGUCUGUCUGUUUUUGUCUUACUGUAAUGUGCUUAGACUAUGUUAUUUUUUUAUGACUACAUUUAAAUCUAGUGGCAGAUUGUACUUUAAGUACUGUACUGUUCAGUCGACACUAGGACAUCUGACCCUGUUUUACAGUAUUAUUAUUCUUUAUUGUUGAAAACCUCCAGAACUUGACCAUUGUCUUCUAGAAUUUUUUCUUUGCAUUGACUCUGUGCUAUUAGGUUUUGUGCACAUUUACUCCAUAUUCCUUUCUUUUCUGUUAGAGGGUCUAAACAUGACUUAAUGCAAGUUAAACCCUUAAUGGAGAAGGUCAUAUGGCAACCAUUAUUAUUUUUUUCAAUUAUUUGAUCCGGGAAAUUGGUGACCUACUUUAAUAAUUUAACCAUGUCAGCUUUCUAGUUUUAUCUACCCCCAUAAAAGCCAGUUUUGUAUUCUUUGAUAUCAAGUUCAAUUCUCCAUGCAGAAACGACCAUUUUUUUCUGUGUCUUGUAUCAUCGUAUAUUCUUAAAAUAUUUUUUCGCACAAUAUCUGGACAUCCGGUGGGCAUGCAACAUUGCAAAACCGCACGUUUACAAAUGAAAAUCAUCAAUCAGACUAUAGUCAUAAAGUAGGACAAUAAACGAACAAAAGACAAACCCGGGACAGUCACAUAGAAGUACAAACAAUAGACCAUUAACUCUGAAAACUAAAAGAAAAUAGAAACAUGGAUCACGAAAAACAUGCAGGGGCGAACCAGAAGUGAAGAGAACUUGCUUCUUGCUUAGACCACUUUCCGUGAAAACAAUUUGAUAUUAGCAAUCUUUUGUUUAAAAUAGUUUUUUUUUUUAAAUUCUAACAGAGAGGCAUUUGCCUCAUUUGCCUCAAUGUAGUUACGGCCCUGGUCUGUUGAAGUCCUGCCGAUACUUAACAAAAAAGGAACCGACCAGUAAAAUGUUGAUUAUAAAGAUAAUCGAAUUCUUAGUUAGAUUUCAUAAAAACUUAACCCUGGAGGUGUAUUUUAAUCUAUCAAGUCCGAUAAAAAAUUACUCGUUCAGUCAUGCAGGAGGAAUAUACUACCAAGGACCAAUUUAUUCUUUUUAAUCAACUUUCAAAUAUAAGUUGUAAUAAAACAAUAAAAGAGAGACACUUAAAGACACUCUUUUACUUUUCAAAUGACCAACUACUAUAAACUUAGAUGUUUUUACCUUUCACUCACCGGUUACUUAUCCAUAUAUAGUAUAGUAUACAUUAAGCAAGAACAAGCCUGAUCAAUACAGUGUAUGAAAUUUCAAUGAUCAGGCUGAAUGUUAUAAACCUGGAUGUUACACCGAUAUGGUUUUUAACUAAGAGAUGAUGCUGGGUCGAUUAUAAGUAAAUACCAAACACGGCAUAUUAAUUGAGUUUACUGUAGAUCGACAAAAGACUAUCAGCACGCUAAGUGUUAAUAACUAAUUAUUAUUCACAUUUAUUUCAUUUGAUAUUAAAUACUUGAACGUGAUCUGUACAUCAUUGCAAGGACUUUAGGAUAAUUAAAAGAAAUUGCUUAUUUAAAAAGUAAGUUUAUAGUACAUUGCAUCGAUGCUAGAGCAGUUAAAGGGAGUAUGUUGGUUAAAGUUUGGUGGGAAAGCUGAGCUUAUCAAAAUAAAUAUGUCACUCAUUAAGACGAAGGUAGGUCAUUUAGUAUAUCUUUAAAUUUCAGCAAAUUAUAUCUUAGCUGUUUUAUCUUAUGAAUAAUUUGAAGAAAAAACAAUAUUUUCUGCAGUUUUGUACAGUUUUCUAGCAGUUCAAUAUAAUUAUAUUGUAUUUAAACAACAUGAAGAAAUUUUUCUUGUUUUUUUUUCAGGUUGAGAACUUGACGCCAGAACAAAUUCAAG